AAGCCGUUAUGCGAGCAAUCUCUUACCAACCUCUUAAACCUCGCCCAGGCGUCAUUGAGCGAUUCGUCAAUAUCCUGUUCAAAAUUUGUGAUCAGUUUCCUCCUUUU